AAAACAUCACAACGGAAAUCAUUUAGAUAAUUAAGUUGAGUCGUACAUUUACACAUUCAAAAGAAAACAAGCAAACAAAUGCCCAUCACAACUAUCAUAUACAAUGAUAUACAAAAGGGCAUUGUUACUAUCAAAAUCAUGAAAAACGUUCAUUAACCCCUGAGUGUUACAAUCCUAAUCAGAGCAAUGACGCCAAAAGUGUGCUACCACUAUCCUCCUCUCAACGCG
rnacentral:lncRNA from 1 species